CCCCCACCCCCCCCCCCGCUGACGCCAGUAGGCCCGAUUCGGGAAGCUCGGCUGCCGAACGGGGAUGGCGGAGCGACACGAGGGCCGGAGAGACCCCACCGCGGUGGGCUCACAUCUGUCGGGCCCCGUGCGGUGCUGCUCCUUGGGGAGCGGGGGGACACGCGGAGCGCUCUGCGAAGCGGCACUGACCCUGUAAUGCGUAGCGCUAAUGACUACAGUCAAAUAAACCGGGUUUUCUGCUGCUGUUUGCCUUGUAUGUAUGCGCUAUGUGAGCAGACAGAGCUGUUCCGUCCCCUGUGGUUGGUUCCUACCUGUGCUAGGGCAGCAGAGAAUGCGAGGUAUGAUAAUAGCCUCCUAUUAAACUCAAUUGAAUUUCUUUUGUUGGCUAAUUUUCAUUUGUAUUUGCAUCAUUUACUGAAUUGCUCAGACUUACAACCUUAAACUGCGGGCUCUUCUUCUUGGGGGAGAAAGAAAAGGCAAAGGUGUGCUAACAUCUGUGUUAACGGGUAUUACAUUUCAGAUGGGUUAAAGCAGAAAGCCCUACUAAAACAUGAAUUUCUGUUUUGAGUAACAGCUGAAUCAGAGAUGCUUUGUUUCCGAAGAAUAAGGUUCUCCAUGGUACUAGCAUUGUCUUGGCCUAGGAAGGACCUGGAGCCUGCUGUUCCCCGUGCUGCAGGGUCCCCAGGCUCUCAAGAAAGGGUAAGGCUCUGCCAGCACGUCUUGCCUCCAUCCACAUGAUGAUAACGGGGAAUAGUUGGCACGCUGCUAAAAACAGAGAGGGUGCAACCCUGGAAUCCCCUAGCGAUGGUCACAUUGGGCUACGGAGACACAUGGAUGGAUGGAGGGAGGUUGGGAUCCUCUGACAGAUUGUCUCUGGAAAGUGGUGGGACAUUGGAAAGCAAGACUUCAGGCAAUUUAAGGGAAAUAAACAAACCCAAAAAGAUACUUAGUUCCAACCUGAAAUUCCCUGCCUUGUACCAUGACACCAGGGCUCAUUGCAGCAGGUCUUGAAACGGGCAGGCAGUUUCCCAGAAUACUGCGCUGGGAAGGGGAGGAUCUGGAAAAGGGGAACGGCUACAUUUUUGCUUGAAAGCCCUCACCUUAUCUCUCCUCUCCAAAAUCCCUGUAUAGUUGGAGCACGUUCAGUCCAGCACCCAAGCGUUUCAUCAAACCCCAGUUCUGGCUUUGAAUUCAGACUGGGGCUGGAACUGUUUACUGAAGCUGAAUCCCAGCAAAACAGCAGCAUAACAACGGUAAAACUGUCUCGAGAAAUACCAAGAAUAUUUUUUCCCUACUUCUGGAGCAACCCAGUGAUGUAAUACAAUGGUUUUCAGUGAUGGAAAUGGGGCUGGAUUUCAAAUGAUUUAGAAGCCCAUUCAAUAAGAGGUUGAAGCACAUGCUUAAGUCAAAACACAUGAGUGCACCAGAACUACUCAUGAGCUCAAAAGUAAGAUACCUGUUGCUGAGCUGGAGCCUUAGGGUACAGCUUGAAGUUGAGGCUAAACUAAUGUAGAGUUAGUGUUGCUGGAAGUGAUUGGUCCUCUCCUGGUUUUCUUCCCUGCAGUGGCUCACGCUGCAGUGAGACAAAUGCUAUUGGUACAACAACAAAUUGGAAGCAACACUGUUGCUUCCCCAGCAACAUGAAGAAGUAUUUGUCUUAUAAAAACAGGAGAAGUCUCAGUUAAUACCGAGAGUCAGUGGAGAAGUGCUGGAGCGAAUUUCUGUACUAACGUGAAGUCCAUGAUGGAUUUCAUGAGCUGCAGCCUGCUAGAGAAUGAAGUAAGGGGAACAAGUAUUUUCCUUAGGUUUAAUAUGUUGUGCCCAUUGGAUCGCAGCCUCUCAAUGACAGUCCAGCUUUUGACAGACGGCCUCAUUUAUCCUUGCUCAUACCCAGCUCUGCUCUGCUGGCAUUGUGCACUCCUGUAGGGCUUUUUUUGGGGGGUAGAGGUUGGAAUUAGCCUGACUUGAACAACUAGGCUGAGGAACACUGAACAGUAAAAUAAAGUCCUGAUGACAUAUUUGAACUCUUGUAGACCAUGGGUUAUCUGAUCUGCAAGGUCACUGCUAUUCUCUGGGAAAGUUUGAAAGAAUCUGCUCUCGUUUCAAGCUUAAAGGGCCCUUCUUGACAACAUGAGGAUGCAGAUUCACUUUGUCUGAACUAUAUGCAUAGGUGAAUGUUUCAGAGUAUUUACUACCUGUAUAUUUUUUUCUUUCCUUUGCAUUUAGAAGCUCAUCAAAGGCAGACAGCAUAGAGUUUGUUUUAAUAAAGAGAAAGAAAAAUUGACUCCGACAAGACUACCAAAACCAACUGAAAUGCGGGAAGGAAAACUGUCAUGUAAAAGUGAGAGACCUAAAAAGAACUUUAAAAUUCCUCUUAAUAAUUUAAACUGUCAGCAGCAGCAGAAAUCAGGAAUUAUAUUUCAGACGCAACUUAUGCCAGGCAUGUCUUAAAAAGGGAAAGACAAAGACAAAUUGAUAAUGCCUGAAGAGGCUGUCCCUGGGAAUAAGAAGUGCAGGGUUCGGCCCUGGAAAGCCAAGCAUCUUUUCCACUCUUCUGUCUGUAAAAGAGAGGAAUGAUGGUCCUUGGUCUUAGUGACUCUAACAGAUGCAGUCGGGGAAGCAGUAGGAAAAUAACAUCAUUAAAACUUCUGUCUUUCUGUAUUUAUGAAAAGUCAGGUUUGUGCCUUGCUCUAAAUGUUUGAGGCUAUUACAGUACAAAGAUUUGGUAUUAAUAUGAUUAGGUUAACAGUAUUUUUUCUGUAAUACGUAUCAUGAAGUCCUGUCAGAAUGAAAUUCAAUGCUAAAAACAUCAAAUAAUAGCUUUCACAGACCAUUAAUGCUUAAGGCUCCAGCGUGGGAGUUAUUAUUACAAAAGGACCCUGAAAUGCUGCUAGCUCUUACUCUUACAUCAGAAUAUACCUUAAGUUAGAGGUAUUUUCCCCCCAGGCUUUGUUUGCUCCAAUAUGAUGUAAGCUCUUGCUCUGACUGUUACGUUGGUAAACAGACCGGCUUAGCUUUGUGGCUGGGUUCUUGCAGUAAAGCCAGGAUCGUGGAGGAGGGAUUGGAGGGGUUGUUCCCAUCCUCCCACAGGGAUCUGAAUGCACAAACUCUUGGCCACUUCGUCCUUGCUGGCUGUGGCAGGCAAUCGCUCCGUCUUUUCCAGACCCUCCAUUGCCUUCGGUGGCGGUGCUGUGCAGCAGGAUGGGCGGCGGUGUCCCUUGUUGGUGUCCCUCAUGCCACCAUGUGUACUGCAGGGAGCAGUGAUGGUUCAUGCCCUCCCCUGAGGGACUGCAAGUUUAAUGUCCUUAAGGAACGUGUAGUUUAUGCAUACAGUGCUGUGCAUUACCCAAGCCAUUCAGAUUUCUCACCUCCCUGCAGGAAUGUGGAUUUGAAUCCAUUUAUUUGACUCCAGGUAGGUGGUAGAGUAUCUUGUGUUUUUCUCCAUGGGCUGAUCUUAUCUUGACAUAAGUCCACAGGUGUCCAUGAAGAUAUUUCAGAGCAGGAAGGAUUCAGUGCAAUGGAGUUAGACAGACUGAUAGCAAAAUGGGCGCUGGUGCCUUUGGUAGGAAUGCCUACUACUCUCCCUCAAUAAAAAGUUUAUGAUUAAUCACCAGAUUGAUUACAUUACCCUUUAAUUAAGAUCAUAAGUGCUGAAGAACUGGGACUUUGGUGUAGUUUUCCUUUGUUAUCUCUUCACCGUGGCUCUGCAAGUGUGACUUCUAAAUGCUUUAUCUGCCUAGGUCUGUAAUUUAUAGCCUGUAUUGGCCAUAAAAGAUCUUGCAUUGAUUUCCCCUUACUACAAUUGUUCCCACCCCUCUAACAGGGACCUGAGGUCACAUUCUUCCUUGCUAGUGCUUCCACAGCUGGAUCCAUUUUAAUGAAAAGCAAAAAUGUGGGUGAAAAUGUGUUGAUUUCAUUUAUAUAAGAAAGUUACCUUCCUUUUCCCUGGACCUGUUCCAUAGUUUUCCCUGGAGCUCUCAUACAGACACUUGUGGGAACUUCCACAGAAAGCUGCUGAUGCAGGCUGGGCAGCUGUCACAAGUGGUUUAUGGCCACUUUCCUCCUGAGGCAUUUGUUCUUCACAUAUCCAAAUCCUACAUUGGAUCCAGUCCUCAGUAAUGGGGAUGCUACUGCAGUGAGUGCAUCAGUGCUGAAACCCACCUGAAAUCUAAGCUGAAGCACCUUCAUAAGCCAUUCACUGCCUGGCAAGAGCCAGCCCCCAGCCAGAACAGGCUGAGACCUUUGAUGCUAUCAGUCUGGAGAUAAGGAGCAGAGUGGCCAGGCCAGCUGUUGGCUCUCACUGCAUGCCCGGUAGCCAGCCCUUAAGGCUCCUCACAGUGCUCUCAGGAAAUACCACUUUUUAACAUUUAGUUCAAGUGCAGACAGGCGUUGGAGUUGGGUAAGGAUGAGGCCACAGGUCUGUUACACCACUUUGGGGUCAAGUUUAGUACGUGGUCUCUGCCAGAUUUCAGCCACGCAGCCCAGGAACUCGGCUGGAAAUGCCACUCAGACACAGGCAUUGGUGCUCCCGUGCUUCUUCUCACCCAGAAAGCCGGGUCCUGGCCUCAGGCUGGAUCUUUCCUGCUCUUCCAGCGAGGGAAGCUGACGCAUUUAACGAGCCUUUUGCAUGCGCCAUCCCAGCUCCUCUUUGGAAGUCCUCUGCCCCCUUGCUCCAGCUGGCUGAGCCUCGCGCACCGUGGUUAUCUCAUCUCAUCUCAGUUAAGUGUUUCAGAUGCAAUUGCAUAUGGGUAUGCAGUUUCAGACUGGUUUCAAUAAUACGUAAUAAUAGUAAUGAUAGUGAUAACAAUACCUGAUGUUAUAGACGAGAAAAAUAAAACUAUUGUCUCAAAACAUAUCUGACAAGCAGUACAACGGUGUUACAUACUUGGAAGAGGGGGGAAUGGGAAUUACUUCACACGUUUCCCUCCCGUGAGCCUUGUCUAGCCUGCAUGUUACGUCGGGGAGACGGAAGCAUCUGCCUGAGAAAUGUGGCAUGAGCUCAGGUCGGGGCAACAGGCUGCCUCCCACACAGCCCAUUCAAAACGACGGCACUAUCAGAUGGAAAGAGGUUACAGACAUAGCGUAGUGUAUCAGUCUGUUAAGUAUCUUUGCAAUGGUUUCCCACAGCACUUCGCAGCUUGUUUAACGUAUCGCGAUUAACCAGUAAGCUCUGCAAGAACGUCUUACGGCCGCUGGAAAUACAAGAAGCAACCUCAAGGACCACAGCAGACGACAAACAUAAUAACGGACAGUAAGCCUGUAUCUGCUGCCUCUCCUGAAAGAUGCCCACGACUGGCAGGGUUCCAAAGUAUUGGAAGUUUAUUCCGAAUAUUUUUGUUUGAGAGCUUUCAGCAGCAGAGAUGUUGGUUGUUGCAGCGCGCCGGGUGAAACGUUGCAAAGCCACAAGGUUUCUCGCUGAGCACAGAAUAAUCAGUUAUCUGGCUGAUUCUGAGAAAAAAAAAAAAGUCUUGCUCGUGAACUGAGCGUAGCGAGAUCUUUCAGUUGAGUCUUUCUUCAGAUAUGACAGCUGGCAAAUGUCUUCUCCGGUGCGCCAGCUUGGCAAGAAAGUCAAACAGAGAAAACCAGCAUUUUUUAUUACACUUUUCACCUCCUCCUCGCCGUGCAUCUUUGCUUGUUUGCUGUUUGGCAGAGUUUGGCGAUUGCUAAUGGGAUUCGCCAACCUUGCAAGUGAGAAAGUUUCUCACCCUGUUAUCGAGAUCAAUGGUUUCCUCCAGUUCUAAUUGCAAAACACUUUCUUUAUCAUGAAAAUCUGAAAUUUCCAUAAAUAGCUUUCCCAAGGGCUAAGUAAGUGCUGAACAAAAACAAAAACAAAGGGAGAGGAAAUACAAUGAAAAUAAAUAACUUGAAUGCAAAGCCAUACCAAAGCCUGGAUUGUUUCAGGAGGAGAGUUUGGGAGGCACUGAGCACCUUGAGAGCUGAUCUGGGCACUGAUGAAGCUCAGCAUGGAAGUGCCAAAGCAUCCUACAAGCCCACUCAGAGCAGCCCGUCAGCUUUUCUUCUGGGGUCAGACUGUGACAAAGUCCAAGGCUGAUUCAACGCGGUAUUAAACCACGGGUUUCAGUUGUAGAGAUGAAGGAAAGACAAACUGGCAGAUGACAGAUAGCAGAAGUAUAUCUGAGGUGAAAUUUCUCGGUACCGAAAUGCUGGUAAACUAAAUGGCGCCUUUCCACAACUUAACUCCCCCAGAUCCAGAAUAGUUUACUGCGCGGGUCUCUGUCAUGCCAUAGAAACCUGACGUGCGGUAUGUCAGCAGUGAAGUAAUAUUGACAGACAAAUACGGCUAUUGUAUUCAUAAACGUUCGCUUUACAAAGCUAAGCACGUUGUAGCAAAAUAUCCUUAAUGCUAGCAUGAUAGACAGCAAUGUAAUCAUUGUCCUGGGUGAAUUGAGAACACAAACAAAAAUAGAUUAGCUAACAACUAAAUUGUAUUUAUCUUGCUUGACAGGGCUGGUUCAGUGAUGAGUCAUUCUCAGAUCUAAUGCCACCGCCAUCUCCAGUGUUGUUGGUAAUUGUUACUGCUGAGAGAAAAGGCUCUGACAGUCUGAAUGCUGAAGAAGCAAAGGAGCGCUAGUUUGCCUGGCGUGGGAGUGCUAGCAUUAGCCUGCCUGAGCCCCAGCAGAGGCAAUACACCAAUUAGCUGCAUACUUCCUUGAACUGUGCAGCUGGGGGCUCGGCCAGCUGGGGCCAUGGCAGGUCUGGUAGGGCUUUUAGGAGGGCAGAGUUGUUCUUCCAGGCAGGAUUGUGGCUGAGGGCCUGACACGUCUCCCACAUAAGCUGCCCCGUCCUCGUGCUGCUGCUGCUGCACAUCCCUCCCCAGCGCAGGCAGGGGUGAGAAGAGCCACAGCACAGAGGGCCCAUGAACUGCCACAUGAGCUCUGGGAAGCCCUGAGACACAGCCAAGGUGAUAUGCUUACAUGGUGAGGAGGAAACGCUGGGUGAGCUUCUCUGGGGAUUAGCAGCAUUCUACACUUCUGAUGGAGAGUAAUUAUCUUUUUGAAAACAAUUGUCAGAUUACUUUUAAAUAACAAAACUUUGCAAGGAGGUAGUCAGGUUCCAGGUAGAAACGUGUAAGGGAAAACAAAUAUUCACAGCAAGAACGGGCAUGAAAAAGAUCGGGCUUGAUGCUGAUCAAGUUCACAUCUGCUUGAAGGCCCAGCCCAAAGAGUGGUGGGGCAGCAGAGCCAAACUCAAUGGGAUGGCACGGCUGCCAGCCCCGUACAGGUGAGACCAAACUCAGAUCGCUAUCGUUUUGUGGUUUUCCUUUUUGCGUAUCGACAGGGAGGAAACGUGAAAGCCAUCAACUGUUGUGCAAAACAAAACACCCUGCCUAGGGUUGGCGGAGGCCGCCUGCCUGGGACUGCUGCAGGACAUGGCCACAGAGCAGGCCUCGAUUCAGGCUGCAGCGGGCACCGCGUGGCCUUGGGUUAGUUGUUGCCAGAGCAAAUUGGCCUGGUGGCUCCUGCACAGAGCCAGCCGGCCGUGUGCGACACCAGGGCUCAGCCAGGCAUGAAAAUAUAAAAUGAGAGAAUAAGUUAAACCACCACAUUCUUGGGGGAGAUGUUAAUGGGUGACAGCUAUCCCAUACCACCUCGGCCUCUGUUCUUUCAUCAGGAUCCAUUACUUAGUUUUUCUUUGUGUGCGCGAUGAUGCUUUCAUGAAAAACAAGCCUAUGGAAAUACUGAAUAGCAGUAGGUCAGAAGAAGUGAAGGAUGCAAAACUGCAGUUUUCCCAUGGCCUGAAAAUGACUCCCUCCCUGGCUUAGGGCAGCCACAGGUAUGCUGUUAAUUUUAAGUCCUCUUGCCAGAAGGCUAUAAAAUGUCUUUUCAUCUUACGUUACAUAAGUAUCCAACAAAUAAGAAGACUGUUAUUACAAAGGCAACCACACUGAAAAAAGGUUUCAUUUACUCUGAAAACCUGCAUUAAAAGACUUCUGAUGUCUCUAUGUAACGUUUAGGUUGCUGAGCACUUGGAGAGGAAAAUUCAUUGAAUUCUUCUUUAAAAAGAAAAAGGAAUUUAACCAGAAUCUGGGAUGCUACCAGGAACCACGUGAUUGAUCUUCAGUUAAGCAUUACGAUAACGUACUCUCUAAAGAUGAGUUCCCUUAGACUUCCAGCAUACCAGACAGCUUUCUGGAAAGCUAUGCUAAUAUUUAGCACCAAAUAACAAUCAAGCAUUCUAGCAAUCAUUCUGAACUAAACAAAACAUACAUCCAUAUGUCACAGAAGUGAAAACUGUGAGGUGCUAAAUGCAUCUUAAGAUGUGAAAAUACAACUUAGGCUGAGGAUGCUCAGGAAUUGAGAGAAAGUGCCCAGAAGACCCAGAAAGGGUCCUUAUAUGUUUCAUGGUCAAAUAAAAAAUUCUGCCUGGCUUCAUUGGUUGCUGAAUCAUUGCUUUGUAUUUUCAUAUGAUUUUCUCCAGGAAAAUAAAAUGUGUUUCUGUGAGAGUAAGAUGAAGACAUCGUGACAGUGAGGCACAGGAGGAUGCCUCUGCUAAGGGGAUUCAGCAGGCAUUCAACACACCUCUUAGCAACUAAGGAGUUCUUCCCAAAGUUGUUUAGUUGUAUUAAGUCCUUCCGCAUCCUCACAGGCUGGGAGGAACUGCAUAUAUUUAAGAUAUGCUCUAAGUCAGUUAACUUCCAGGCAGUAAGGAACCCUCACCUGCUCAUUUCACAGGGAAAAAAAAAAAAGCCCACAAUAGAAAACACCAUGUGCGUGUUGACAUCCUGCUUGUGAACCAAUAUUGUCACAAGCAAGAGGUGGGAAAGAGCAGGCCAAUUAAUGAAUGUGAACUGACUUACACUUAGCUAAAAUUAGGUACAAUAUCCUGUCUGAAGUUAUUACAAUUAACUAAAUAAAUACACCUUCUCAGUUAAUUAUUUUUGUAAUACCCUUGUGCCUAGAGGCCACAUUUGAGACUGAGAGCCAUCCGCACUAAGCGCUGCAUGCACACCCAGUGAAGACAGCCCAGUCUUGAACAGCUUGCUGUUCACAUAGAGGAAAAGGACUAAAGAACGAAAUCAUUCUUUAUUAUCUGUGUUACAGAAACAGACCUAGAGAAACCGAAUCCUCUUGCCCAACACCAUAUAAGAGUUAUUUGGCAGGACUCAGAAGCAAAGAGAGAAGAUGGGUACCCAAUUUAUUCCCUAGCACAAACAACAACGUCGUCUUUUACCAGAAGACUUCUCAUACAUGGGAUAGUUCUGGACUCUUGUUUCUCUACAUUGCAUUCAUUCUUUUUUGAAUGCAGCACAGCAUGUCAUAGCUAGAGCUGUUGAUUUCUCCUGGCUCCAUCCAUCUCACCUGUGUGAAACACAGCUAUUCUAUAAUGAUGAAUGAUGCCUUACUCGCAAAAAUUCAAGGCCUCAAGCUUACAUGUCUGUGAACAUACAGUUUCUGUUGGCUGCUUUCAAUUGCUUGAGUUCACAUUUGUCCUUCCUCAAAUCUAGAUACAUUACACCAUUACACCUUUUUGUAAUGAUGAAUAAGCUAUGUAGCAAAAACCUUUAAAGUAUAAUGGCAAGGGGAGUAAAUGUGUUUUUUAUAUAUAUGUAUAUAUAUCCAGAAAUAGCCUGUUCUUUCAGGUUAAAGUGGCUGUCCAGUAUAGCAUCACCUCUUGGAAAUAAGCCCCAAAAACUUACUUUUCUAGCAAACACUUUGUCUUCAAUAACUAAGCUACUGUUGUCACCAUUAGCAUCUCCUGAACAGUUUACACCACAUACUUGUGCACAUAGGAAAUAAAAUCAUCAAAGCAGAAACUGAACUGCUUGCUGGCUCCUUCUGCCUGCUGAAGAAAAAGGUUUAGACAUCCACAGAAAUACAGUGUGGCCGGUGUGUGGUGACUUGACUCUGUUUUAAGAGACCUCCUGCAGUGACAUCAUCCAGCAUCACAGCUCUAAAGCUUUGGCCUUUCCCUCCUCCGACACGAAGCAGUGCAGUGAUGUGACUAGCAGACACUUCUCAAUGUUUCUUUUCUCUUUAUCUGCUGAAAGCAGAUCUCAUAAGGAGACUGAAAAUCAUGAGGUUUUGAAGUGCUAUUCCUACAACUUUACCAAAGAACCUCAAAUUCGUGAACCAGGCUUUGACGGAUACAUUCUGCAGUCAAUCAGCUAUACUUGUGGAUUUGAGAAGGUUUGAAAAUUUGGCCCAAAAUAAAUGGUCUGUUCUUCUUGUAAUCUUAACUGUGGAGUUAGUGUAAUGAAUCAGCAAAGAAAAUUUAUUUUUCCAGCAGUUUAGCUAUUAAAUAUGACUUUCUGUGAGUCCUUGAGGCUGCCCAGAGCUUCCAACAAGUCAACCUCUGUGCCAUCUUCCCAGCCAUAAAAUUGUUUUCUGCUUCUUUGCCAGGCUGAAUGUUCUAGGAAAAGCCCAACAGACAAAUUACAGAUCGAUGAACAAAACAAUUAUUUUUCCCAAAUAGCCACAUGCCUGAAAGAAAAUCUUUCUUUAAAUAGCAUGGAUGUAUAAUUUGAAUUCAUUCAUAUUUUAUAGUUCCGGAAUAUUUGUUUACCUGAAACCCUGCAGCUUUCAGAACCAUAUUGUAAAGCAAUGAAAAAGACCAGCGGCAUUGGUGGCCUGGGCAUCUUCCUUUCUGAAGUUUCCUGGCUGACAGCAUGAAAAAAAAAAGAGUCCUCUGUGUUUGAUGAAUGCAAGAACCAGGUUUGUAAGCAUGGAAAGAGCCUUUAGAAACACAAGUGAGGUUUUUAUCCCUGGCCCCAGUGUCAUCCAUCUUGGAAAGCUUUCUGUUUUUAUUAUUUUAAACAGGUCAGCAACAGUAAGAUGGGAAACUAGAUUUCAAAACAGAUGUCUCUGCAGCGCUUCAUCAAAACAUUGUAUGAUUUCAGACGGAAAUUUAAUAUUGGAUGCCUUGCACAUUACCUAACCUGUUGGGGAUAUGAACCCCCAGCCUCUGAAACAGCAGCACCCCUAUUUCAGCAGCCGUGCUGCUUUGUCCCAUGCCAGCUCAUCACACAGAGGCUGGAUGAGGCUCCAAGCACCCUAAUCUAGCUGUAGGUGUCUCUGUUCAUUGCAGGGGAGUUGGGAUAGAUGACUUUUAAAGGCCCCUUCCAACUCAAAUGAUUUCAUGGCUCACCACACACCUCCAGCACCCAGCUCUUGCAGGUUGGGGCUGGGGGUCUCUCCACUUUACUGCUCCCCACAGGGCACAGAUUUUGGUCCCCAACACCAUGGCUAGUCCCUUCACAUCUGGGGUACAGCCCAGUAGCUGUUUUUCUCUCUCCUGUGCCUGUGGAUGGCAGAAGCACACUCUGGCCCCCCAUAGCACUGCAUGCCGACGCUCUGUCUCUAGGAAAGUAAUUUGGGAAGAACAACAAAGACUUCUUCAGAGAACUUCCUUGCAGAGAAGGUUGUGGUUGUCUUGCUAGCUCUCAAAAUUAAAACUACGUUUCAGUCAAAAAAUGCCUAUUCAGACUGACAUCAAAGGGAAAAACGUGAGCAGGUCAAGGAGUUUAAUUUCCACGGCACUCGUGAUUCACAUGUAGGGCUCGGUAAUGACUUACUGCCCACUGGCAAAAGAAAACUGUGAAUGAAGAGAGAAGUGAGGCAGACGAACGGCGCGGUGCCGCUUUCAGCCAGCAGUGCAGUGCUGUGGCCCAGCUCUUCAUCUGCAGCAGCCUUGGUGAGGAUGGCAGAGAUGCCCCUGCCCAAGGGUGUCACCCCAGGUGCCCCCCGGUGUGCUGGUGCCUUCACCCCCUGUCACCCUCUAGAGAGCAGGUUCCUUUCAGACACCUCAAGCCAGAAACAUUUGGGCCCUUCUGAAAAGCUGGGUCUCAGGCCGUGCAUCUCAAACCCUGCUCUCAUACCAGCAUUUAAACCUUUAGAUAUCUCCAGUUAAGGUGAAGGACUAUGUCUCAAGGUAUGAAGGCGGGAGGUAUGUAAACCUUUUAACAGUGUCUGUAUGUUCUCCUACUACUCCUUAUUUGCUUUUCUCAUGGGACGAUCCAACAAGGCAUUACAGGCUGUUGAUAAAUAGAUUUUCAGCCCAUUUCGUUUAACCAUUACUGCAUUUCCAUAUCAAAGAUUUUACACUUGGCAUGCCCAAGCCUAUUUUAUUUGUAAUCUUUUCUCAAAUGAGAAGUUUGGAAUGUUUUUUCAUUAUGUGUUUCAUCUGCAGCACACUGCCUUGGUGUUAUUUUUGAGAUGAGAUCUUUUACUCUACCUCGAGUCAUUCUACAACUCGUCGGCUUUUAUUUAUUCUGGCCUCCCAAUCUAACAGAAUUUCUGUGUUGAAACUUGUUGCUAUUUUUUUCCAGGGAUACACCGUACGAUGUUAAGCCUGUGCUGUGUAUCAAAGUGCAAAUAUAAACUAGUUGAUAGUCUCUGGUCACACCCUGGUAGGUGUGGCAGUUGGGAAUUUUUCACUUUCUGGCUGGAGAUCAGAAUGUGCUUAGCAUGGUUCCCCAUCCAGCAUCUUGGUCGGGAGGGGACUGGCUGCCUUCUGCAUGCAUGUUGUUUGAAGGGUUGGGAGCCACAUAGUUGUACCACUUCCAAAAGCAGAUUUUUACUUGUUUGGCUAUAUUUAGAGCUGCAAUCGGGAGAUCUGAGGGUAUGAUAAUCCAGUGCCUCACUGUCUUUCUCCUUCCUCUCGUUCUUUCUCCCUGUCACUUUGGGGGUGAGAGGAUGGACCAGCAUAGCUCUAGUGUCAGCCUCCAGCAUGGUGCAGAACUGCGCUACUCCAAGAGAAACUCCAAGGAGGAAGUGUGACUCAGAGAGCUGCAAUUCCUUCCACGGUUCCUCCUUGCUCCAGCCGGGGAAGUAAGUUACUUCAAUAUUUGUGCUGCUAGAGUACAGCUUGCUUCCGCCCCGCUGCUUGCAAGCCCCAGCUUGCAGAACGCAGAGAGAGAAUGCUCUGAGCCAGAACCUGCAAAAGGUGGCUUGCCUCCUUCUGCUCCUUGGCUGCCCAUGUGAGACAGGGACCAGUCCUGCCCUAGAUGAGGUUUCACUGCAAGGAGUCACCUCAAAGCCAUCUGCCUAAACUGGCCUUCCAGUCAUUCUGCAGAGAUGCACACCGCUGGCUGUCUUGUCAGGCAUCAUUUACAUUAAUAUCACAAACAGCACACUACCUGUGAGACGACUUCACGCUGUCUUUUUCUACCUAGAUUGCCCACUUUUCUGCUCCAUUUUCAUAGUCUUUCGUACAAUUAGACAAUCCCUAUCAGAGUAAUGCACAGCUCACCAGACACUUGCCUCUCAGAUAAUCUAUUUCCCACUGACUUAUUUUCCAUCACAAUUAUUCAUUAUUAUACCCAGAGACUGGCAAAGGAUUUGCAGGUAAUAAUUCCCUUGCCAAAACAAAAACGCUAAUAAGGGUAUUUGUAGGGAAACAUUCAUAAUCAGUGUUUCUUCAUUUGGAGUGCAAUCGUAAGGCCCAAGAACACCAACUGGUAUGUGACUUAUUUGCAAACGAUACAAAGGACUCCUCACCUGCCUCACAUACUGCUUAGCAGCAACACACUUUGGAAAACCAUAUGAAGUUCAUAGCUUUUUUUACACACACACACACACACACACACACACACACACACACACACACACCUCUUCAUGCAGAAAUACUGCACUACAAGGAGACCUUUCACUGGGGACACUUUAAAGACAUUCUGAUAUGACAGCCAAAGGUUGUGUUAACUGAGACAGUGUCAAACAAGAGUAGAUGAUGAUGAAUACUUCAGUGAUGCACAGGUCUGAAAACUAAAAAAGGUCAGAAAAACAAGAGAGGACAAAACUCAUCCAUAAGCACAUCAACUAGAUGGUCCAGGUAGGAAUAAAACCACCAUGCUUGUUGCUGUACCCUCCAAGGUUACCAGGGAGAGGUUUUCAGGAAGUAUUUUGCAGUUAAAAAAAAAAGAAGAGUAAGAAUCAACUUGAGAAAAUAGGUCCGUUCCUCACAUGUUCAGCAGCACAGAAAUGCACACUCGUAUACACAAUCAUAGUUCCUGCCUGAGUGAUAGCAAUCUCCAAAAUAGCCCCUGAAAGAAGAUUCAGGCUAUUGGACCAGCUGCUGCUUUCAGUGAAGUGGUCUGAACAUAGGUCUGAAUCCCACUCUAUGUGGGAUUUUGUGUACCAACAUGUAUAAAGCUCAUCCUUGUGUUAGAAGAUUUGAAUGGCACCAGUGCUAAUUCAGCUGUCCACCUGGCAAGCAUCUAGAGAGACACACACAGAAAGAGAAGCACUACUCAUUUGAGUCUUCACUCCUAGACUGAAAAUAACUGAUGUAAGUGAAGCGUGCAGUGCAAGUGUGCAAAAGUUACUUUCAUUUUGCACCAGUAUAUUCAGGAAUUUUAAAUAAGCUCAGUUAAAAUGAUCAGUUGAACUACUUUGACAGUGUUGUAAGAAAUCCUUAUGUGGCUAAUUCUUAAAUGUCAUCAGACAGCAGACCAAUUGUGCUCGAGCGCACAUUGUUACCCCAGGUAGCAGAUAACUUCCUGUGUUGAAACGAUGGCUUGAGAGCGAUAUACUUGCAGACAAGGAAAUAUCAUCUUCCAGUCCUGCUGUGUCUUAAAGUGAUCUACGAGAACUCUUUCUAGCUCGGUGCCUGUGUUUAGCCAAGGUAUUAGACGCAUUCAGGAUGUAUUAAACUCAUACACCUUCUAAAUUACAUGAUACAUGGAGUUCACACAGCUAGCUAAUUCAGUCAGAUGUGUAGUGCUAACAAUAACCAAAUAUAUCCAAUGUUACUUGUCUAGCUAUGGAAUAAAUAUGCUUGAUGGUGCUUAAUUAUACAGAUAUGUAAUGGGCACCUUCACCGCUUUCUAUAGUUAAAAUCCUGUUCCCAAUGCUUAGUAAUAUGGAACAACACUUUUGAAGUGGAGGAAUACUUUGGAAUAAAAAUCAUUCCUAUUUCACACUUUGGCACUCUGAACACAUAAUCCAAAAAUAGGGGAACGGAACCUUCAGCGGAUCAAAUCACGCACAGAACAGAAGUAUACUGGAAAUAAUUCCAUAAAGUCAACUCCCAGGACAAUGGGAUCGUCCCCAGUAAGUACUGCUUCAGCAACACUGGCUGAAUGAUUCACUGUGAGCAAUUCAGUGAAAAUAUCAGUGUUUUGUACAGCCUUCCUUUUUCUUUUUCUCCACGUUCCUCUUUCUCUUCCUCAUCUUCUUUUUAACCUUUUCUACCUCCCACCUUCUGUUGCCGCACAUGCAAGACCUAAGGAGCUAAAUGAACACAUACACAAGAAACAGAUGACAGAGCAGAUUGGCAGAAUGAAACAACCCAUGAGUAUAGAAGAUGGUAAAACAUCAAUAAUCAGUAUUGACAUCAGACAUUAUCAAAGAAAGGGUUUAUGCCCUGCAUUGUUUCAGUUCCUGAGAACGCCUCUUGCCUUCCACAUUGUAAAAUAUAGCCCAAACAAAAUGCAGCUAAGAAAAAGGGAAAAUUCUUCUCUACAUAGGAUUUAAUACUGCACCCAUCACUGCAGUAUCUGAGAGCAAGAUAUUCUAUUGCGGGCGUGGUGCAAAGUUCAUGGAAUAUCAAGUGUUGGUAAUCUGUGCUCUGAGCCUGUGAAUGUACGUGCAAAUGGAUCAGAUCCACAGCUGGCAUCUGUCUGGCUCCAGAUCUGGUCCAGUAAGUUUCUAAAGAGUAGUUCAAGACAGACCAUUGAAAACUUCCAAAGAAAGUCCCAGAGCACAUGACAGAAAUGGCCAAGUGGGACAGCACAGUAGAAGAAAGAAAUCCUGUGGGUUCAUUUCUUUAAAGCAUAAAAGUCAUUAAUCAUUUCUAUUCCUUUCCAUUCAAAACAGCUGCCUGCCCACAUUUGCUAAGUAACUGCUUUCCUAACCACACAGAAACUAGGCUGCGGGCCCCAGAAUGCUCAUGCUUCCAGAUAUUAAUAAAUAUUUCCCUCUUUCACUGUGUCAAUGAGAGCACAUUAGCAUCCUCAGCAUCUGGUUUUAGUCGUGAAAUAAUAUGUUAAUGUCUCCACACUUGGCGAAUUCCUUCCAAAAAAAAUCCUUCUUAGUGCUUAUCUUUCAGCUGAGGCUUCAGAAGCUCAAAAGCGUGGCUUGAAAACCUCAGUGGCCUUCUACCUGUGAUGCAGGACAGCACUCUUUGUCAAGUUAGAAAUGAUCUCUUUGAUCACACUCAUUUGUUUGUCUCCUCAUAGAGCUGAGUUACGCUUCCCACGUGAGCCCUUCGCUUCAAAAAGUCCACUGUCAUCCCUACAGGCUACUGCAAUUAGUGAAAUGCCAGCCAGCAGGUGGAGACGCAUGAAAGCAAUCUCAAUUCAUAGACAGGCUGCUUUGACAUUUCAUUCCCAUAGCCCUGGCCAAGCACUAGAGCGGGCCAGAGCCAGAGAAUAUAGCUAUUGGUUUCAUGGAAAAGUUCAGAAUUAAAAUCUUGGCUGGCUGACAAACAUGUGACAGAGCAGCUUCUCCAGCAUGACUGCUGCACACAAAGCCGCACUGGCGAGCCGUCCCGGCAGCACCUUUCAUGUACAACGCAGGGAGGGGAGCCCGCUGCUGCCUUCCUCCUGACCUCGCCUCAUUCACUCUGCUCAGCAGUGCCGAGCUGUCAGCAUCAGCUGUGCCGAGCCAUACGAGGGGCCACGCAUGCCAUGCCUUGUGUGCUCACGUUUGGCCUCGUGCAGGGCGAGGGUGGGCUCUGGUGGCUCAGCACCCAGAUGCGUUCCCACCUAUCUGCUGUGGAAGCUCAGCCCGAGAUGGCACGAAACGGCUUCGCUUCCUCUGCUCCUCUCCUAACUCCUCCCACCCAGCGCUUCCUCUUUCAGAGUGGAAACAUCAUUGUAAUAGCUAUUUCUGAAACGUCCCUGCCAAAAAUCAGGAAGCACAGAGGAAUACUUCAGGGCGAGGAGGGGGAAAAGGUAUCUCGCGAGUUAUUUCGGGAGUAGGGAAUUUGUUUACAUUAGUUUGGGAGGAAAGCCGAGGCUAAUCCCGUGUUGUCUUCAGACCAAUCAUUACGUUUCCAGCUCAAGUCUCUCCGUGCUUUAGGAACUAAACUCUCUAUGCUUUUAGAGACGUGGUUUAACGGGCAAUACUGGUGGCAUGUGGGUGGUUGGACUAGAGGAUCUGAGAGGUCUUCUCCAACCUUAAUGAUUGUAUGAACUGUAAGAAGCUGCAGAAGUGGGUCUGCAGAACACCACACGUGAAUGAGUCAUCUCCAGUGGAAGUACGCCUGUGAUGGGAGCUGUGCCUAAAUGCUGUGCUGAAAUAAAGCACGUGCAUGGAGAUGAAGAAGGAAGGAAGGAGACGGUGCAAAAUUAAUAAAGCUUAGAAUCUCAGCAAAAAUCUGCAAGCGCUUUGAAUCAUUUCAGUGUUUGAACACAGCAUACAAACAAACAGCAUUCAUCGUGAAGAUACUGAAAACAGUGACCCGCUCCGCAGGUUCGGACCCCUCAACACUGUAAUAAUCUGUGGUGAGUUAUCAGAGCUCCCUUGAAUGAGAAGGACGCUUCAAACCUUGCAAAAAAAAAAAAAAUCAACUUCAGUGCUUCUAAAGAAAUGCAUUUUGCAGCUUUUUCCACUCUUUUGGAUUCUUCUCCUCCCCCUUCUACCUCUCUUGCACUCUUCUCCUUGGAGAGCAGAGUUUAACAUGCCAUUGAGGAGAUAGCCUGCAUGCAAAGUCCCUCAAACAUAAACACACUUAAAGAACAGAUUCAUCACAGCAGGCUUCCAAAUGUGGAAACCACAUUCCAUCUGCACCCUUAUCCAAUGGUCAUUAGCUUAGAUCUUGAAUGGACAUUACUUAAAGCAAAGAUUAUAAAAACAUACAUACUGCUCAACAGUGAUUCAUCAGCUUCCAAGCUCUGCAAUUGAGCUCAGAGUGACUCAGGCUGGGGACUUCUGGAAUGUGCUGCAGGAAUUUGCUGCACUGAGUCUGCAAAGCUGCCUUCAGAUGGUUUCUCUGGCAACUCAGGACAUUUCAUUGAACUCAGGUUUGCAGCACUGUAACAUCAGUGACUCCUGUGCUGCCAGCUCUGCAGAGGGCUCAGCACCCACAUCAGCACACUGCUCAGGAGCUACGGAUGACAAUGGUCUCACAUACACAGCCCGGCGAUAAGGUAAAAGUCUACAACGUGUUGAUGUUGAUGUGAGAUGAGGAUGCUCAGCACUUCAGAAAACCAGGCCCUAAGCAAAAGGCAAGCGUAACGUUUCAACAAGUAUGAGUUACAAAUGGACAUGGUGAAGGUGGUGAUUAAAGACUGUUAUGAGUACAGCCUGGGGUACUGAUGUUGCAGUGCAAAGCAGCUUCUAUUUUAUUUUUGUGACUUAUUUCUCUAUGGAGUAUCUCUGAUAGUCUUGAUGCUUAUUAUCAAUAAUUAUUGCUGAUCCUUUACAUACCACUUUUAUUUAAUGAUUCUUGACCAACAGAAGAAUUCUGCUUGUAGCAGUCCAGACUAAAGCACUAACUUCUGCAGCACUGAAUGUUUGCUCAUACCUUCUUUCAUCUCGACCAUGUUUUGCAGAGGGGAGGGCACUCAGGCCUUUUCAGCAGGCUCUGGGAGCAGAGCUCACCUUGUCACACCUGGCGGCAGAGAGCUGCACAUCAGCUGCUCAUUCACACCCCCCUAGUAGCAGAUGGGAAGAAACAGCACCCGCAGGCUCUGGUUCAUCCUAACUAUCUCAGAUAUUUAGGAGAAGGUGAAUUGUACUCUUAGUACCUUGUGCUAUGGUGAGUAGUUCAGUUAUCACUGUUUACACUAUUCGUAUCUACCUUUGCUCAGCUGCAUCCCAUGUCUCAAUACCUCUCUCAGUAUGUCCUUAAGCCCACGAUAAUUCCACCUCAGGCCAUUGUCAGGAUUUAUACAAAUCACCUCAAGCCUUACUUCUACUUAUCUCAAAGGCACUUUGAUAAAGGAGCACAUUCAAUGAUUAAAAAAAAACCAACAUUGGUCACCUGGUGACGAUGCAACAUUCACCACACACUAAAAGCAACCCCUUCAGGUUUCACUUACAUUAAUAUUUAGGUAUCGGCAGGAAGUGAUGUUCCAAUAUCAUGACUUGGUGAUGUGUUUAUGAUCUGCUGCAUGGACUCAUUCACUGUAAAACAGAAAAAGAUUGUUUAUCAGAUAAAAAAUGGUUAUAGUACAAACCAAAAUGAAGGAAGUACUUUUCUUGUUGAAAUAUUAAGUGAUCUGUUUGGUGCUCCUGCCUUAAAUAGUCUGAGCUUCCCUUAAAAAUUAAAACAUGAAAUUCUCUGUUAUUUGUUUUGAUGCUGUCUUACUAAGAAGUCACAGAGCCUCUUACACUGAAUCCUGUCCUUUACGUCAGUUCUUUUUUUUUUAACUGUGUUUUGCAAAUUCAAACUUCAUCAACCAAACAAACCUCCCGUUUUGACUACAGAAAAUCUACAUUUGAAUCUGAAUUUUGUAUGUUGGGUUACUCUCUGCUUCCUGUUUGAGAGCACAGUUAUGGCACCCACUUGCAUGAGUUCAUAACUAAUUGAAAUGCUUGCGACAUGAGUAUGUGCUAAACAGAGGAAUUUAACAAAAAAGUUACUACAAGUUGAAGCAAUAAAAUCUUAAAGAGUUAAAAACAGCUCAUUUUUUUCCCCAAGUUGCUCAAGCUAGGAGUUGUUUGCAAUGCACAGAGCACAUCUGGGACUUUAUUCCCUUUUGCAGCGUCCUAUAUACGUAUCUUUUUAGAUUUUAGAAUGCGACAGAGAUCCACGCAGUGAAGCUUGGUGCAGUGAUAUGAAACUCUCUCAGUGAUUUUCAAAAUAUGCAACCCAUAAAUCAUUCACCUUAACCCGGACCCGAAUUUGCAUAAAACCAGAGUCGAUCAUCUCAAAAGGUAAUUUACUCAAAGCCCAAACAAUCCCAGCUGUGUGAAGCACAUAACAAAGUUAUGAAGGUAGGAUUCACAUGGCUUCAGGGUUUGUAAUGGAUGCUUUGCACAGCUGUAAUGAUGAGUGGGUGAGGAUAGUUAAGAAUGAAUGAAGUGUGGGUGGUGGAAAUAUUCACUGGGCAUGUCACGGCCAGAGGAGGAAACACAGGGGCCUCCCAGCCUCCAGGAUGGAAAGGACGUCAAGGCUCCAUGGACAGGGGUCCUACUUAUUUAUUUAUUUCAGCCCUGACACAUUCUCAUUAGGAAGGCAAAAAUGUGAAAUCGAUAGUUUCUCUUGAAUGCAGGAAGCCGACUGUGGCUGCGCAGCAGAGCUGUCUUAUAAUCUGCUUCCAAACGUGUGGGUGCCUCUUGGGUUUCCUCAGAGAUUUUAUGGACCGGUUUCAAAGUUUUCUGUAAAUUCAGGCCAACAAUGUCUGCAUCCCCUACCACAUCAGUCAAAAAUCAGACUGUGCUUCAGAGUCAUGUAAAUUCCUUCUAUAAGAAACAUUUACAUUUUACAAAAUGAAAACUGAGCAGACUACUUCACGAGGUGAAUUCACCCCUGGUUUGUCUCCCUUGUUACAGUGCAGUUACCGCAGGGAUGGGUUGACUAAUAGGUUACCAUUAACAAACAGAAAAAUGAGUAGCACGUAUAACCGAACAUUACAAAGGUUUCGCCCAGGAUUGCCAUGGCACAUGAUAAGAUGGCACAUUGAUAAGAUACUUCAUUCUUACCGUUCCUGAAUUUUCAUGAGACCUUAUCUGUAACUCCGCAAAACCCGAAGCCCGGUUUAUAUUUCUUUAUGGCAUUAUUAUAGGGCACUGUAAGUGUAAUAAAACAAUCUGCUAACUGUUCUCCUUGACUGUUCAUAUUCAUUGCUCCUAGACAGGUUUUCUUGCACAUAUGGUAAAAUAUAUACAACAACUUUCAUAUCUAAGGUCCUAGUAAUUUAAACACAGUCCAUUUCUUUAUUGGCAAAAUAUUCUUUGUAGUUACGACUUGAUUAGGCUGGGAGUAUUGAAAAUAUGUUGACUAAUGCACUGUUAAAAAUAUAAGAAGUGCAAUGUUUAAAUAAUGACAGAUAUUUAUGGUCCAGUGUAGGAUUAACUGCAGUCUUCUGAUGAG
ensembl:lncRNA